rnacentral:rRNA from 1 species
AUGGCGUCGAGUUCUGUAGGUGGGACACAAAACCGAAGUAUCUGGGAUAUCAUUUGGAAGGCUGCUGUUCCACCUAAAGUCAGAAUUCAUGGCUGGAGAGUUGCAACAAACUCUUUAGCUACAAAGAAGAACAAGUUCAGAAGGACCAUUGAGGUGGAUUCCACCUGUACUAUCUGUGGGAAUAGUGAAGAGGAUGAAUUUCACGCGGUCAUUGAAUGUACUAAGAGCAGAGCCCUGAGAGGUGCAAUGUGUGAUGAAUGGGAUCUCCCUCCGGAAUGCUCAUUCCGACGCACUGGGCCUGAUUGGCUACAGUUACUUCUUAGUACGGAAACGGAGGAUAUACGAGCGAAAAUCUCGAUGCUACUCUGGAGAUGCUGGCACUUACGGGAGGAUAAUGUACAUGGGAACGGUAAAGAAUCUAUUAGCCACUCUGUUGCCUUCCUACUGAAGUAUGAUGAGGAGCUGAAAAAUGUUUCUAUGAGGCCUCCCUCUGUUAAUGGAAAAGAAACUAAGAUGCUGGCCAGUACUACAGUCAAUAAGCCGGCCAACUGCAUCAGGAAGUGGCGCCCGCCUCCGCAAGGAAUAGUCAAGCUUAAUACUGACGCUGCCUUCUCGGCAGAUAGUGGGAAUUGCUGGGCGGGAGGUGUUGCCAGGGAUUAUAGAGGAAAGGUCCUCCUGUCGGUAGGCAAUCAAAUGCCUAGGUCAAGCAACGUCGAGGAAGCGGAAGCCCGUGCGGCUCUGUUUGGCCUGCAUGCUCUGGCCGCUGUGUUCAGAGGCCCGGUGGAGUUAGAAAUGGACUGCAAGAAUGUGAUUAAGCUAGUCCGCAGGGGCGACCACUUCGUGGUGCACGGCAACAUGCACGCCGUCGUCGUGGAGUUCAAGGCCGGCGACACGGACCCUGACGUGUCCGUCAUCAUGGCGGCCGGUGUGCCACGACGCCAACCCGGUCAAGCAGGACCCGGUCAAGCAGGAGGUCGGGGUAAGGCUUGUUAA